rnacentral:rRNA from 1 species
UACAGAGGUCUCGAGCGUUAGGCGGAAUCACUGGGCUUAAAGCGUGUGUAGGCGGGUCGUUAAGUGCCUUGUGAAAUCCCAUGGCUCAACCAUGGAACUGCUGGGCAUACUGGCGAUCUUGUGCCACCUAGCGGCGAGCGGAACAGAUGGUGGAGCGGUGAAAUGCGUAGAUAUCAUCUGGAACGCCAAUGGUGAAAACAGCUCGCUGGGGGUGUGCAGACGCUGAGACUCGAAAGCCAGGGGAGCGAACGGG